AAAAUUAGUGGCACUUUAUUCAUAAAUAUUCAUAAGCCUGUUAAUUAUCGGUUGUCUUCCUGUGGGUUAAUCAACAAGUUAUUUUCAACUUGAUUUUCUGAUGAGUGAGAAAGCUUUUGCCCUGAUGUGUUAUGUAACCUUUAAAAGAAUGGAAAAGGACUAAAAUCCAGUUUAGCUUAUUUUUUGCAGUAUUUUUCUCAGCAUAUUUGAUUUAUUCUAAAAAUGAAAUCCAGACUUUUUCUAAUACGAUGUUACAUGAAAAGGAAGAAGUGACUAUUUUGAAUUGUCAGUUGUCGUUUUCAAAUGUACAAAGCAAAGGGAGAAAAAGACAUUUAAAUGCAUACUUAUCUAUAAAUUUUACAUUUCGAAGUAGUUACAUGUUUGUUGUAAGGUUAUUUUAAAUUGGCCCCAGUCCCAUCCCCCCCCCACUGCCAUGUAUGUUUAGUUUAAUUUUUCACAAGCUUUUUUGCUCGUGUCGCAGCUACACGGAGGGGAGAGUUCUCUACCGCGAAUCAGCUGCACACCCCGUGAUGUGGGUGACCUUCCGUUUUAGCCCCAAACCGUAAGAGUCGGUCACUUAGGUUUCUCUUCGGUCAGAGUUGGAGAAUUAGCCCUUUCAUUUCAGGGAGUUUUUAGGAUAUUGAGAUGUUUUCUGAGCACCAAGUGGUUAGAUUGUGCAAGCUUUGUAAUAAUUUGCAGCUGAAACUCAUGAUACAUUUUAAUCCAUUGGAGACUCAUGGGAAUGUAUCAGCCAGAGUAGCAAGUACUUUUUGUUUUUCAACCGGAGUCUGUCAUCUUGCAGUAUUACUGAUGCUAUUGUAAAUUGAAUUUAAAGUGGUAUUUAAAAAAACAACCUCCUGGUAAACAAUUUUUAUCUGUUUGUAUAUCUUACUAUAGAUUAUGUACAAGUAACAUCUGAAUAAAAUUACACUUUUAACCCUAAACCGGUUUUGCUUACUUAUAACAGUGUUGUAUGUUUAACCCUUUUUGGGGGGAGAAGUUGGGGGUUGGGUGGUGUUUUAAAGUAGCUUUUCCAUUAUUAGAUAACAAAAGAUACACUCUGACUUCCAUUAAAAAAAAAAAUUUUUUUUUUUUUGGCUGUCCCCAUGGCAUGCAGGAGUUUCCGGUCAGGAUCAAAUCCACGCCAUAGCAGAGACCUGAGCCAGAGCGUUGACAGUACUGAGUCCUUCACUGCUAGGCCGCCAGGAGACUCCUCCAUUUAAAUUUGUACACAGCUUCUGUGUAACCAGGGGUGCAGGCUGGAUUCUGUGAGUGACUCAGGGAAGCAGUGGUGGAGCCGGGAAGACGAAGCCGUUCCCGGAGCAGGAAACAAGCUGUGCCCAAGACGGCGUCCGAACCCCGCCUGCCUGGUCUCCAUCAUCGCCGUGACUCCUAGACUCGGGAGCAGUGACCGCUUCGCAGAUGCUUCCCUUGAAUCCUUAAAAUAAUCCUUGCAAAGAGGUGUUCCUUUUCCUACCUGGGAAACGAGAGUGAAGCCGGGCGGCUGGCGGAAGGCUCUUGGGGGACGGGAGCUGCACGUGGGCGCAGCAGUAAAGGGGGGCAGAGGGGGCUGGAAGGAUAGGCUGGCGUUGAGGCCCCCACAGCUACUGCCCUGAGCUGCCCUGCAGGCUGUGAGCGCUGUGGGUCCCACGUUUGUCUCUGUCCCAGGAGCCUCAGCACAGCUCCAGCCGCUUGACAGUGGGCAGCUGUGUGUGGGCGAUGGGCUGGGUGAUGGGCUCAGAGUUCCUUUUUUACCAAAAGUUAAUUGUGUGCAAUUUUAAACAUAUGGAAUGUUUUUUUACCCAGUGCCCCCAGUUUAUUACUACUUGUCCCUGGACCUCGGCUCCCACCUUGUUGGGUUGUUGCCAACAGACUGAGUGAUGGGUGACGGGGCCAUAUUCACCGUUACGGCCUGUUGUCAAGUAGAGGGCCUGGCACGUCCCAGGGUCCCCCCGUUUCCCGACUGUCAUUUACAGAGCGGAAGGGGAGGCUCCGCCACCACGUAGAAGAAGCCUUCAGAAGAAACUGAGGACACUAACCCAGGCCACGCGGGUACGAUGGUGCCGGGCCCUGAGCUGCCAGCGUCUGCGGGCCCCUUGCUAAGAAUGAAGGAGCAGGCCGCUCUCCGCCCUCCCGCGUCUCGUCUCAAGAGGAGGACACGCGAUGUCACGGCCGCAGGAAGGGAGGGGGCUUCUGCAGAGCGGGACAGCCUUGGAGAAAGCCAGUGAGGUGGGACCGUGCACAAGGAUCAGUGUGGCGGAGCAGGAAGAAGAGGCGUGUCACCAGUGGGGGACCUUCCCAGGGCCAGUGCUCGGGACUCUGGGUGCUUUUUCAGCCACCACGGCUGCAGCUUCAAAGGUACAGAAAACCUCUCCGUAUCUGCAGCUCGCUGGCUGUUCACUGGCCCUGACACCCUCCUGCCUUGGGCAGUACUUAGACUUCGACUUAAGAGGGCAUCUUAGGUCUGUUUUACUUCUUUCUAUUCAGAAGGCACUUGAGAGCUUCGUGCAGCUCGCCAGCACUAAAGAUGGGGAAGCUGGCCAUUGCUUAGUUACAAAAUGUGGCCUCUUAACUCUUGAAUUUUCGAGCUGUGGUCCUCUUGUUCCACAGGAGACUUUCCAGUAAGUGCUGUGCACCUGUAUCACCCACCCAUCCAUCCCCUCACCGUAUUUUGUGCCGUUCACACAGUUCCAGUGUAAUCCACCCCUGAACACUUCAGUAUAUCAUAUAUUAAGAGUGUAAUAUUUGUAUUUAAUAUUUUUAAGGUAAGAAAUACUUAGACAGGAGUUCCCUGGUGGUGCAGUGUGUUAAGGAUCUGGCAUUGGCAUUGAGCAGCUCAGGUCAUUGCCGUGGUGUGGGUUCAAUCCCUGGCCCUGGAAUUUCUACGUGCUUAUGGGCAUGACCAAAAGAAAAA
rnacentral:lncRNA from 1 species